GGGCCAGUGGCGGAAUUGGUAUACGCGCAACACUUAAAAUGUUGUCCGCUAUGCGGUUGCGGGUUCGACUCCCGCCUGGCCCACCA
rnacentral:tRNA from 1 species